AUUGAACGCUGGCGGCAUGCCUUACACAUGCAAGUCGAACGGCAGCACAGGAGCAGUCCUGGUGGCGAGUGGCGAACGGGUGAGUAAUAUAUCGGAACGUGCCCAGUCGUGGGGGAUAACGCAGCGAAAGCUGUGCUAAUACCGCAUACGAUCUAAGGAUGAAAGCGGGGGAUCGCAAGACCUCGCGCGAUUGGAGCGGCCGAUAUCAGAUUAGCUAGUUGGUGGGGUAAAGGCCCACCAAGGCGACGAUCUGUAGCUGGUCUGAGAGGACGACCAGCCACACUGGAACUGAGACACGGUCCAGACUCCUACGGGAGGCAGCAGUGGGGAAUUUUGGACAAUGGGCGCAAGCCUGAUCCAGCAAUGCCGCGUGCAGGAUGAAGGCCUUCGGGUUGUAAACUGCUUUUGUACGGAACGAAACGGCCCUUUCUAAUACAGGGGGCUAAUGACGGUACCGUAAGAAUAAGCACCGGCUAACUACGUGCCAGCCGCCGCGGUAA
rnacentral:rRNA from 1 species